CUCCCGGAUAAGUUAUUGCUGCUGUAGGGUAGGUGUCCCAUUGCUCAGGGCUAGAGCGGAGGGGAGCGAAGGGGAAGUUUCUUGGGAAGCACUCCCAUUGUGCUCAGAAAGAAAGUGGCUCAGUGUCCUCCUAAUGCAUCUCAUUUCCCCUCUGCCCUCUCUCCCUUGCCAGGACUCGCCAGAUCUUGGGAGUUUCUUGCUGCAUUAAUUUACUAAACUAAAAAAAAAAAUAAAAAAAAUUGGGGGGGGAAGGAGGAGGAGGUGGAGAAGAGGGAAGGCAGAGGGGAGGGGGGAGCUCGAUCUCUCCACCAUCCCGAGGCCCUCCUCUUAGCUGUCCUCAUUGGUCUCAGGGCUGAAAAAACUACUCUAGGACGCGGUUGGAUAAACGCAUGCUGUUCGGCAGCAGCUGUUAACCUUUAAAGCGCUGACACGUUUUGGUUUAUUUCAUUUUUUUUCCUACACGAAUUGCUGUCUUUUUAAGAAGUCUCUGAAAUUGUCUCCCUUGACAGGGCAAGCGUAGCCUGCCUUAAGUCUCCAUCUCGUGGAAGAUCUGCUUGGUUGGCAGUUGCUAUUUGUUGCUGUUGGCUUUUAAGGAACAUCUCUGGGUUAUUGGCUUUUUUUGUUUGUUUGUUUUGUGUUUGUGUGGUGAUUUUUUUGUUGUUUUUUUCUUUUCUUUGUUUUAUUUGAUUAUUUUUGUUCCCUUUUGCAUUCGGUUUUGCAGAGAAGUUUGGCAAAUACCAGAGCCAUCAAGGUCAGGGAAGGCCCUCCAUCCUUCUACUGAUGCUGUUGACCUGGGUUCCUCGUGUGCUCCUCUGUACUCUACCACACUGCAAAAUUUGACUUCUCUACUCUCUACUGUGUCUGAUCGCAGCCUUUCCCCAUCCAUAGGAUGCUAUCUUCAGUCCUGUCCGAGCAGAUGCAGAGCAACCAACCCCUUUUUUCCUGAGGACAAAUCACUUCCAAGUACUGUCUGGAUGAGCAUGAAGAAUGCGAAUAUGAAUACAGACAAUUAUGAUGGAGUAGAGGCCUUGUAAAUUUAUACCCAAACUUACCCCCUGGUAACUCAUUCAUCUGCCUGUCUUGACAAGGAUGCAUGUGAAAUAGUGGGACAAUAAAAGAUUUUGUUAUGCUGAAAGAUGUUAAUAGCUGGCCUCAGGGUGAGCUGGGUUUCCAAGACAAUCACAAAUAAUGCAGAUAACACUGGGGAGGCUCAGGAGAAUGAAUACUUAAACCUUUAUUUUGUAAAAUAGAGAGGCAUGCUCUAUCUCAGUGAGGGUUGUCUACACGUAUAAGUUUUACAAGAUCUAUUUUUAUGGAAAAGUCCUUCAUGAGACAGGGUAUCUGAACUGCUGGCUACACACAUGGAAAUAUCCAGCAAAGGUAAUUAUGGGUGACUGCCUCAGCGAGUGAAGGUCUAAAGACAUGUCAGAGGGCACUGGGAAUCAGCCCCUUCUGCACCUCUUGCAACACAGCAUUCUGCCUGUGUGUCUGCAGCAGCACACUUGGAACAAAAGGAGAUCUUGACAAAGAAAUAUUGCAUGUAACUACUUUGGCAGCCUUUGGAUGUCAGAGAUGUGCUUCAAAAAAGUUUUCUUAAAAUUCAGUCUUUUGGAAAGGAGGUUAUAAUACAGAUCUG